UGUGCAAAGGUAGCAAAAUCAAUUGUCCAUUAAUUGUGGACCGGAAUCAAUGGUUUGACGAUAAAAAAACUGUCUUUCUUUACUGGCUUUUAAAUUAUCUUAAGAGUGAAGAGACUCUUUUGUUAUAGCGGGACGAGAAGACCCCGUUGAGCUUUAACGAGUAUUAUUAGUUUUAUAAUCACUGGUUUUAGUUGGGGCAACUAUUUCUCUUUAUUAAACAGAAAUAAAACUAUCUCGAAUUGAAUCAAUUAUGACCCCUAAUUAUUAGG
rnacentral:rRNA from 1 species